rnacentral:rRNA from 1 species
GACGAACGCUGGCGGCGCGCCUAACACAUGCAAGUCGAGCGAUGAAAUUUUAACCGAUCUCUUCGGAGAGAAGAUAAAAUGGAUUAGCGGCGGACGGGUGAGUAACACGUGAGAAACCUGCCUUUCACAAGGGGAUAGCCUCGGGAAACCGGGAUUAAUACCCUAUGACACAUUUCCUUCGCAUGGAAGAAAUGUUAAAACUCCGGUGGUGAAAGAUGGUCUCGCGCCUGAUUAGCUAGUUGGUGGGGUAACGGCCCACCAAGGCCAUGAUCAGUAACCGGCCUGAGAGGGCGAACGGUCACAUUGGAACUGAGACACGGUCCAAACUCCUACGGGAGGCAGCAGUGGGGAAUAUUGCACAAUGGAGGAAACUCUGAUGCAGCGACGCCGCGUGAGCGAUGAAGGCUUUCGAGUCGUAAAGCUCUGUCCUAUGGGAAGAUAAUGACGGUACCAUAGGAGGAAGCCCCGGCUAACUACGUG